rnacentral:rRNA from 1 species
AGUGAACGCUGGCGGUAGGCCUAACACAUGCAAGUCGAACGGCAGCACAGUAAGAGCUUGCUCUUACGGGUGGCGAGUGGCGGACGGGUGAGGAAUACAUCGGAAUCUACUUUUUCGUGGGGGAUAACGUAGGGAAACUUACGCUAAUACCGCAUACGACCUACGGGUGAAAGCAGGGGAUCUUCGGACCUUGCGCGAUUGAAUGAGCCGAUGUCGGAUUAGCUAGUUGGCGGGGUAAAGGCCCACCAAGGCGACGAUCCGUAGCUGGUCUGAGAGGAUGAUCAGCCACACUGGAACUGAGACACGGUCCAGACUCCUACGGGAGGCAGCAGUGGGGAAUAUUGGACAAUGGGCGCAAGCCUGAUCCAGCCAUACCGCGUGGGUGAAGAAGGCCUUCGGGUUGUAAAGCCCUUUUGUCGGGAAAGAAAAGCAGCAGGCUAAUACCCCGCUGUUCUGACGGUACCCAAAGAAUAAGCACCGGCUAACUUCGUG